rnacentral:rRNA from 1 species
ACGUAGGUGGCGAGCGUUGUUCGGAUUUAUUGGGCGUAAAGGGUUCGUAGGAGGUAUGGUAAGUUCGUUGUGAAAUCCCGCGGCUAAACUGCGGAACUGCAUUGAAAACUGUCGUACUAGAGUGUCAUAGAGGAGAGCGGUAUUCCUGGUGUAGCGGUGGAAUGCGUAGAUCUCAGGAAGAACAUCGAUAGCGAGGGCAGCUCUCUGGGUGACACCUGACUCUGAAGAACGAAAGCGUGGGGCGCGAACCG